AUUCAAUGUGUGAUUAUGUAAUAAAGAUGCCCUUAAAAUUCCGAGAACGAAUCCCAAAGCGGUCAACAGUAGAGUAGCAGGAGAAGUAAGCAUUGCACUAAUGGAACUUACUAAACCGAACCGUUGCCCGUUUCAGUAUAAUAUUGACCGUCCAAUGAACCAAACAAGACUCAUACAAAACGAACGACAAAAAUAAAGAAAGUUAUAUAAGAUGACUGCUUGUUAUUAUACGUGAUGCUUCAAUUGCUUUCGACGGGAAGAAGAACAAACGCUACCAUAUAGAGGCGCUCGGAGUUAUAAUUAAAGAAAAUACAUAAAAUAAAAUUGAUAAAUCAAUUUUGCAACACAACGAAGACAUUAUUAUUAUUUGGAGACGUUCGUGGAUGGCUGUACAUUGUUGUUGCCAUCAACCGGAAUAAAUGGAAGAACAACAAACGAUACUCUUAAGAGACGUUACGAUUAAAAUAAACGCAGUGAUAAAUAUUCAAUGAAUUUUUGAAAACCCUCCAGUAUUUGAAAUCAAUUAAAAAUGGUUGUUGAAUCGUCGCCCGUUUUUUCAGGCGCUUUGCUUAAUUUCUUCUUAUAUGCCAUUUUCCCGCUCCUGUUUGCAACCUUGAUCAUUUUAUUCCUCAUCCAAUGUGCAUAUUGCGUAUUUUCAAUCUAUCGCAGUUGCUAUCGACAGCGAGAAGAAACGCAGGAACAGCAAACGAUACUUGUAUAUGGUGUUAAAUCCUAUCAUUGAUAAUGUAAAAUCAAAGCCAUUCAAGAUGGUUUCUCACAGCCAAACAAAAACCACAAAAAUGACAAAUUGUUCAGCAGACAAGUCUUUAUUCGGUGUUGUGAGAAACGAGAUGAGCCACCAUACUGGAGAUCAGUAUCGUUCAGUGAUAUUUAAAGUUUACCACUACUAGAAAAAAAUGCAGCACAUUUUUUACACGCUUUUUUCACAUACAAAUAGAUCCAUCCUCGUAAGAUUUUGCACAGCCGUUCAACUAGAUUGUGACUAAUGAUAGUUAAACUCUUUAAAAGUAUAACACGUUAUUUUCACACAAAAAAAGUAUAUGAGUGCUACCUCACGACAAGUACCUAAAAUUUGAACACCUCUCAAUCUUUUUUUCCGACAAUAAAUCUAGUCAAUUAAUUUGGUCUAAUUGAAACAAUUGUAAAAGAAACUUGUUCACCGAUGUUAAUAAAUGCAAACAAUAAUUACAUUAUGAUAACGAGUUUACGUUCAUUCUUAUCUAAUGAGAUAUCGAAAUUUAUCUGAAUGUGUUGAAAUCUCUUGAAAAUCUUAUCUCAGACGGAGCUGUAACAAUGUUGAUGCUUUGAAUGCUUCGACAGUUUGCAUUUUCUUCCGAAUUCUUGACUUUAAUUCCCAUUAAACGAGUUAAUUUACUGGAACAAAAAAAUGGGUAUGAUUAGUGAGUUUAUCAUUGGCAUAAGUCAUGUUUUAAUUUUGUGUUGGCCAUAUAUGUUUGGCAUUUUAUUUCUCGUUAUUCUUCUGUCAAUUCUGUUUUAUUAUUUCAUCUUCAAAGAGCCACAACGCAGAGCUCGAAAACUACAUCGGGGAGAUCAACAAUCUCAGCCCUUGAACGAAACGGAUUGCUAGUCUUUAGUAACGCACAGAAAAAGUCAUCAUUUGGAAUUUCCAGUUUCAUGUCAAUCGUCGAAUGAAUGAUAAAAAUGUAUGAAAUGGAGUCGAUCUUUUGUUAUACGCAAGCUCAGCACUGAGAUUCAAAUGAGUUGUUGGUAUAUUUAAUUCACUAGGCUAAUGAAAUGUUAUGAAAUGAAUAAAGAAUUUCGACUCUAUGUUUACGUACACAUUA